rnacentral:rRNA from 1 species
CGCUAUCACUCCUACGGGGAGGCAGCAGUAGGGAAUCUUCCACAAUGGGCGCAAGCCUGAUGGAGCAACACCGCGUGAGUGAAGAGGGGUUUCGGCUCGUAAAGCUCUGUUGUUAAAGAAGAACACGUAUGAGAGUAACUGUUCAUACGUUGACGGUAUUUAACCAGAAAGUCACGGCUAACUACGUGCCAGCAGCCGCGGUAAUACGUAGGUGGCAAGCGUUAUCCGGAUUUAUUGGGCGUAAAGAGAGUGCAGGCGGUUUUCUAAGUCUGAUGUGAAAGCCUUCGGCUUAACCGGAGAAGUGCAUCGGAAACUGGAUAACUUGAGUGCAGAAGAGGGUAGUGGAACUCCAUGUGUAGCGGUGGAAUGCGUAGAUAUAUGGAAGAACACCAGUGGCGAAGGCGGCUACCUGGUCUGCAACUGACGCUGAGACUCGAAAGCAUGGGUAGCGAACAGGAUUAGAUACCCUGGUAG